UACAGAGGUCUCAAGCGUUGUUCGGAUUCAUUGGGCGUAAAGGGUGCGUAGGUGGCGCCGUAAGUCAGGUGUGAAAUUUCGGAGCUUAACUCCGAAACUGCAUUUGAUACUGCUUUGCUUGAGGACUGGAGAGGAGAUCGGAAUUCACGGUGUAGCAGUGAAAUGCGUAGAUAUCGUGAGGAAGGCCAGUGGCGAAGGCGGAUCUCUGGACAGUUCCUGACGCUGAGGCACGAAGGCCAGGGGAGCAAACGGG
rnacentral:rRNA from 1 species